UUUUAGUGGGAAUGGUGGGAUGAGCACGCUGGAUGGGCGUUGGCGCUAGAUUCCGUGUACAUUUUCCGAGCGGCCAAAGAGUAAUUAAGAUCAAGCCGAUCACCAGCUUCGACCGUUUUUGAUUGUAUAAGAGAAUCAUAGAUCCAUAUUUGGCGAUAUUUCCAACGCUAUACUCAAUACGCCUUCUGGCACACGAGAAGUAGAGGAGGAAACCUGCAUUACACUCAAGAAGCCAAAAGGAAGGAAGGAAGCCAUUUUGGACACUAUCGGACCUCGUGGCCAGCGUAAUUAUGGCCUAGGAUGAGAACUGGACCACCGCAAGAUCGCUCUCGUAUUUCUGGCUGGACGGUGUCUUGCUACGUGGAAGAGAUAACGAUAUGAUACCCAGAGUACAAUAGUCCUACGACGUACAAGUUGG